rnacentral:rRNA from 1 species
UGGGGAAUUUUUCGCAAUGGGGGAAACCCUGACGAAGCAACGCCGCGUGGAGGAUGAAGGCCUUCGGGUCGUAAACUCCUGUCGACCGGGACGAACGUAGUCGGGUCCAAUACAUCCGGCUAUCGACUGUACCGGUAAAGGAAGCCACGGCUAACUCUGUGCCAGCAGCCGCGGUAAUACAGAGGUGGCAAGCGUUGUUCGGAAUUACUGGGCGUAAAGGGCGCGUAGGCGGUCCGAUAAGUCCCGUGUGAAAUCCCUCGGCUCAACUGAGGAAUGGCACGGGGAACUGACGGGCUUGAGUUCGGGAGAGGGAAGCGGAAUUCCGGGUGUAGCGGUGAAAUGCGUAGAUAUCCGGAGGAACACCGGUGGCGAAGGCGGCUUCCUGGACCGACACUGACGCUGAGGCGCGAAAGCUAGGGGAGCAAACGGGAUUAGAUACCCCGGUAGUCCUAGCUGUAAACGAUGAGUGCUGGGUGGUAGGGGGUAUCUACCCCCCUGUCGCCGAAGCUAACGCAUU